rnacentral:rRNA from 1 species
GCUUAGAAGCAGCCAUCCUUUAAAGAAAGCGUAAUAGCUCACUAGUCAAGGGGUUCUGCGCCGAUAAUUUCCGGGACUAAGUAUCAUACCGAAGCUAUGGGAUUUAUUCUUUUAGAAUAAAUCGGUAGACGAGCGUUCUAUUAACCUGUGAAGGUUGACCCGUGAGGGCAGCUGGAGGAGAUAGAAAUGAGUAUGCUGGAAUGAGUAGCGAUAAAGCCCGUGAAAUCCGGGCUCGCCGUAAGCCCAAGGUUUCCUGAGUAAAGUUAAUCUGCUCAGGGUUAGUCGGACCCUAAGCCGAGGCCGAAAGGCGUAGGCGAUGGAAAACAGGUUUAAUAUUCCUGUACCAGUUUAAUAUUGUUUGAACUAUGGGGGGACGCAGAAGUGAAAGGAGAUCCCGGUUUUGAUUGUCCGGGUUUAAGAGUGUAGGAAGUUUUGGUAGGCAAAUCCGCCGAAAUAAUUCUGAGACUCGAAUAGGAGGGCCUAGCCCAUAAACUCUCCCUAAUCAUGCUGUCAAGAAAAUCCUCUAUGUUAGAUAUUAAUCUGACCGUACCGUAAACGGACACACGUAGGCGAGGAGAGAAUCCUAAGGCGCUUGAGAGAAUCCAAGUAAAGGAACUCGGCAAAUUGGCCCCGUAACUUCGGGAGAAGGGGUGCCACUUAAGGAGAAGAGCUUUCGCUCCUAUUUUUGAGUGGCCGCAGUGACCAGGCCCAAGCGACUGUUUACUAAAAACACAGGUCUCUGCUAAGUCGUAAGACGAAAUAUAGGGACUGACACCUGCCCGGUGCUGGAAGGUUAAAUGGAGAGGUUAGCUUCGGCGAAGCUUUGAAAUGAAGCCCCAGUAAACGGCGGCCGUAACUAUAACGGUCCUAAGGUAGCGAAAUUCCUUGUCGGGUAAGUUCCGACCUGCACGAAUGGUGUAACGAUUUGGGCACUGUCUCUACUUGGAGCUCAGCGAAAUUGAAGUGUCGGUGAAGAUGCCGGCUACCCGCGGCCGGACGAAAAGACCCCGUGAACCUUUACUACAACUUAUCAUUGGAUACUGAUUCUGCACGUGCAGGAUAGGUGGGAGACUUUGAAGCAGUGGCGCUAGCCAUUGUGGAGUCAUCCUUGAAAUACCACCCUUGUUUUGUUAGUAUUCUAAUCUCAUCCCGUGAAUCCGGGUGAGAGACAGUGGUAGGUGGGUAGUUUGACUGGGGCGGUCUCCUCCCAAAAAGUAACGGAGGAACCCAAAGGUUCCCUCAGCACGGUCGGUAAUCGUGCGUAGAGCGCAAAGGCAUAAGGGAGCUUAACUGCGAGGUCGACGGACCGAGCAGGUACGAAAGUAGGGCUUAGUGAUCUGGUGGUUCCGCAUGGAAGGGCCAUCACUCAAU